rnacentral:rRNA from 1 species
UACGGAAGGUCCGGGCGUUAUCCGGAUUUAUUGGGUUUAAAGGGAGCGUAGGCCGGAGAUUAAGCGUGUUGUGAAAUGUAGAUGCUCAACAUCUGCACUGCAGCGCGAACUGGUUUCCUUGAGUACGCACAAAGUGGGCGGAAUUCGUGGUGUAGCGGUGAAAUGCUUAGAUAUCACGAAGAACUCCGAUUGCGAAGGCAGCUCACUGGAGCGCAACUGACGCUGAAGCUCGAAAGUGCGGGUAUCGAACAGGAUUAGAUACCCUGGUGGUCCGGCUCU